AUUUCCCAUUGCUCCAUCUUUGCAGAUUUUCAUUUUCGUGGCUAGCCCCUCAAAUGCUGAAGUCUACAUGCUUUCACAAGGUUUGAGCAACUUUUUCAUACAAAUCGCGAGGCCAGUUCCUAUUUAAGUUGUUUGCAAUGAAGUUUGCAAUCUUGGCCCUCAAGGCACGAAGAGAUCCAUCAGAAUCUGUCACAUUAUCCAGACAUGUAAGUGCAACCUUCAAAAGAUCCGGGACACAAGCUUGAAUGUGAG
rnacentral:misc_RNA from 1 species